rnacentral:rRNA from 1 species
UUUGCCUACGGGGGGCAGCAGUGAGGAAUAUUGGUCAAUGGGCGGUAGCCUGAACCAGCCAAGUAGCGUGAAGGAUGAAGGUUCUAUGGAUUGUAAACUUCUUUUAUAAAGGAAUGAAGUGAUGCACGUGUGCCUUUUUGUAUGUACUUUAUGAAUAAGGAUCGGCUAACUCCGUGCCAGCAGCCGCGGUAAUACGUAGGAUCCGAGCGUUAUCCGGAUUUAUUGGGUUUACAGGGAGCGUAGAUGGGUUGUUAAGUCAGUUGU